rnacentral:rRNA from 1 species
UACGUAGGGUGCGAGCGUUAAUCGGAAUUACUGGGCGUAAAGCGUGCGCAGGCGGUUUUGUAAGACUGUCGUGAAAUCCCCGGGCUUAACCUGGGAAUGGCAUUUGGGACUGCAAGGCUGGAGUACGGCAGAGGAGACUGGAAUUCCUGGUGUAGCAGUGAAAUGCGUAGAUAUCAGGAGGAAUACCGAUGGCGAAGGCAGGUCUCUGGGCUGAUACUGACGCUCAUGCACGAAAGCGUGGGGAGCAAACAGG